AGUCCGACGCGAAAGCCCCUUCCGGGGGUAAGUAGAGUGGCGUCCGGGUGAGUAACACGUGGGUAAUCUACCUUCGGGUGGGGAAUAACACCUCGAAAGAGGUGCUAAUACCGCAUAAUGCAGCGGCACCAUAUGGUGAUUAGUUGUUAAAGCGGGGGAUCGCAAGACCUCGCGCCUGAAGAGGAGCCUGCGGCAGAUUAGCUUGUUGGUGAGGUAAUGGCUCACCAAGGCUGCGAUCUGUAGCUGGUCUGAGAGGACGGCCAGCCACACUGGCACUGACACACGGGCCAGACUCCUACGGGAGGCAGCAGUGGGGAAUUUUGGGCAAUGGGCGAAAGCCUGACCCAGCAACGCCGCGUGAGGGAGGAAAUCCUUCGGGAUGUAAACCUCGCAAGCAAGGGAAGAAUGCCCGGGAUCUAAUACAUUCCGGGAGAGACGGUACCUUGCGUAAGCCACGGCUAACUACGUGCCAGCAGCCGCGGUAAUACGUAGGUGGCAAGCGUUGUUCGGAAUUAUUGGGCGUAAAGGGCGCGUAGGCGGCGUGACAAGUCACUUGUGAAAUCUCCGGGCUUAACUCGGAGCGGCCAAGUGAUACUGUCGUGCUAGAGUGCGGAAGGGGCAACUGGAAUUCUCGGUGUAGCGGUGAAAUGCGUAGAUAUCGAGAGGAACACCUGCGGCGAAGGCGGGUUGCUGGGCCGACACUGACGCUGAGGCGCGAAAGCCAGGGGAGCGAACGGGAUUAGAUACCCCGGUAGUCCUGGCUUAAACGAUGGAUGCUUGGUGUC
rnacentral:rRNA from 1 species